CGCCUUGACGAGACGUGUGUGUGGAAGUGCCGUCAGAUGCGACCACUAACGACGAUGCGUAACGGACG